rnacentral:rRNA from 1 species
GUGUCAGCCGCCGCGGUAAUACGUAUGGGGCGAGCGUUAUCCGGAUUCAUUGGGCGUAAAGCGCGCGUAGGCGGCCUGUCAAGUCAGGUGUGAAAACCGGGGGCUCAACCCGCGGACUGCACUUGAAACUGGCAGGCUUGAGUCUGGUAGAGGGAAGUGGAAUUCCUAGUGUAGCGGUGAAAUGCGCAGAUAUUAGGAGGAACACCAGUGGCGAAGGCGGCUUCCUGGGCCACGACUGACGCUGAGGCGCGAAAGCUAGGGGAGCGAACAGGAUUAGAUACCCUGGUAGUCCUAGCCGUAAACGAUGGGCACUAGGUGUGGGGGAUCAUCGACGUCUUCCGUGCCGUAGCUAACGCAUUAAGUGCCCCGCCUGGGGAGUACGGCCGCAAGGCUAAAACUCAAAGGAAUUGGCGGGG